rnacentral:lncRNA from 1 species
UAAUGUGCACCAUCAUCCAAGACUCUGGUUUCUAUUCUAGCAAUUGUAAUAUAAGGUUGACCAAGUAUUAUCAAUGUCAUAUGGCAUGAUUUGCUAUCUAAAAAUAUAUUGUAUAGCUACUUGUAGAGAGUGUAGCUUAAACCUUUAUAUGAAUCUUAUCUAAGCUUCCAAAACUCUUUUAUUUUGCAUAAAACUCAAAAUAUAAUAAAAUCCCUUCAAAACAUAUUUUUUCCACAAAGGGAUUUCUUUUCCUAAACUUUAGAAAUUCAUAACUUUUGAUCUAACUAUUUAAUUUGUCUCAAAUUUAUAGAAUAGGUAUAAUUCACCCUUAAAUUUUAUCACACAAAAAAACCAACUGCAAAUUCACUUCCGAUCUUCUCGCAUCUAAGAAAUCCUAGCAGAUGCUCUAAACCCUAAUUUACAAGCAUCCAAGCACUAUUUUCUUAAUAUCUCAAGAAUCCAAUACUCAAAUGUCAUCAAACUUUUAUAAAAAGUUUAUCAACAUGAAUUUACACAUUCUUAGAAAUUUGAGUCAAAACCUUGUCAAAUUGCUCAAGAUAUAGCUCAAGACACAACCACUGGUAAAUUAGGUCACUUACUACCCUUAGAUUGCAUGUGCUGACUUCAAAAUCCAAUAACUCCUUCAUCCAAACUUGGAAUCCAGCAACAAAUAUGCAAAAAAUAUAGCCACAAAAGUGUUCUCUCUAGUCGAAGUCACCAAUCUUCAAUUGCUAUUUGUAUGCAUGCGAUAUGCCAAAAAGAGUGACAAUAGCUCCCAAAUCAACACC